rnacentral:sRNA from 1 species
GUCCCAGAGCUCUUAUCUAGCAGUUGGUAAUCGGGGGUCUUUUACUGUAAUGCUUCUUUUGCUGAUAUCGUAUGUGCCUACUAGGGAAUUUCUCUUCAAUGCCAUUGAAACGUUGCCUUGUGUCAAGAAGAAGGCAGACUGGGCCUUGCGCUGGAUUGGGGACAAAGAGGCUACCUAUGGUGAACGUGUUGUAGCCUUUGCUGCAGUGGAAGGCAUCUUCUUUUCCGGUUCUUUUGCAUCGAUAUUCUGGCUCAAGAAACGAGGACUGAUGCCUGGCCUCACAUUUUCUAAUGAACUUAUUAGCAGAGAUGAGGUGAGUCUAAAUCAAAUAAUAGGGUGACCUAAACCCCAAACACAACUCGGGCAUACUCUUGUGUUCACUGACGGGGACCUGAGAUACUAGAUGGCAUAUAUCCACAUUUAAUGUGUGAGUUCAACCAUACACAUACUUGAC